rnacentral:rRNA from 1 species
UACGGGGGGGGCAAGCGUUGUUCGGAAUUACUGGGCGUAAAGGGCUCGUAGGCGGCCAACUCAGUCGGAUGUGAAAUCCCCAGGCUCAACCUGGGAACUGCAUCCGAUACUGGAUGGCUUGAAUCCGGGAGAGGGAUGCAGAAUUCCAGGUGUAGCGGUGAAAUGCGUAGAUAUCUGGAGGAACACCGGUGGCGAAGGCGGGUCUCUGGGCAAUAACUGACGCUGAGGAGCGAAAGCGUGGGGAGCGAACAGG